GACGAACGCUGGCGGCGUGCCUAACACAUGCAAGUCGAACGGAGUUAUUUGGAUCGAGGCUUCGGCCAAGUGAAUGAUAACUUAGUGGCGAACGGGUGAGUAACGCGUGAGCAACCUGCCUUUCAGAGGGGGACAACAGUUGGAAACGACUGCUAAUACCGCAUAACACAUCGAUGGGGCAUCCUGUUGAUGUCAAAGAUUUAUCGCUGAAAGGUGGGCUCGCGUCUGAUUAGCUAGUUGGCGGGGUAACGGCCCACCAAGGCGACGAUCAGUAGCCGGACUGAGAGGUUGAACGGCCACAUUGGGACUGAGAUACGGGCCCAGACUCCUACGGGAGGCAGCAGUGGGGAAUAUUGGGCAAUGGGGGAAACCCUGACCCAGCAACGCCGCGUGAA
rnacentral:rRNA from 1 species